rnacentral:rRNA from 1 species
AGUAACGCGUGGAUAACCUGCCUCACACUGGGGGAUAACAGUUAGAAAUGACUGCUAAUACCGCAUAAGCGCACAGUACCGCAUGGUACAGUGUGAAAAACUCCGGUGGUGUGAGAUGGAUCCGCGUCUGAUUAGCCAGUUGGCGGGGUAACGGCCCGCCAAAGCGACGAUCAGUAGCCGACCUGAGAGGGUGACCGGCCACAUUGGGACUGAGACACGGCCCAA